rnacentral:rRNA from 1 species
GACGAACGCUGGCGGCGUGCUUAACACAUGCAAGUCGAACGGAAAGGCCCUGCUUUUGUGGGGUGCUCGAGUGGCGAACGCGUGAGUAACACGUGAGUAACCUGCCCUUGACUUUGGGAUAACUUCAGGAAACUGGGGCUAAUACCGGAUAGGAUCUCCUGCUGCAUGGUGGGGGUUGGAAAGUUUCGGCGGUUGGGGAUGUACUCGCGGCUUAUCAGCUUGUUGGUGGGGUAGUGGCUUACCAAGGCUUGGACGGGUAGCCGGCCUGAGAGGGUGACCGGCAACAUUGGGCCUGGGAUACGGCCAAGACUCCUACGGGAGGCAGCAGUGGGGACUAUUGCACAAUGGGCGGAGGCCUGAUGCAGCAACGCCGCGUGCGGGAUGACGGCCUUCGGGUUGUAAACCGCUUUCGCCUGUGACGAAGCGUGAGUGACGGUAAUGGGUAAAGAAGCACCGGCUAACUACGU